UAGUCCUUCUUGUUACUGCAUUGACAGCAUGAACAAUAUAUGAAUCUCUUCUCUAGCUAGUUGGCUUUGGCCACUUCGAGAAAAUAAUGCAAGCCAUCAACAAACUGCCUAUCCACAUUAUACAUCCAUUGCCGAUCCAUCUGCAUCGUAUUACGUGAGAAAUGGAUAUAGGUCUUCGUAUUAUAUAAAGAACUUGAUCGAUAUUGAUAAUUUAGACAAUCAACCUUCAUAAAGAUAAAACUAAUUCACAUGAAAUACACCAAUCAACAUUCAUAACAUUCACUAGGUCGAC
rnacentral:lncRNA from 1 species